GCCUCCGUAGCUCAGUGGCUAGAGCAGCUGCCUUGUAAGCAGCAGGUCGUGGGUUCAAAUCCCUCCGGUGGCU
rnacentral:tRNA from 1 species